rnacentral:rRNA from 1 species
GACGAACGCUGGCGGCGUGCUUAACACAUGCAAGUCGAACGGUAAGGCCCUUCGGGGUACACGAGUGGCGAACGGGUGAGUAACACGUGGGUGAUCUGCCCUGCACUUCGGGAUAAGCCUGGAAACUGGGUCUAAUACCGGAUAGGACCACUGCCUGCAUGGGUGGUGGUGGAAAGCUUUUGCGGUGUGGGAUGGGCCCGCGGCCUAUCUGCUCGUUGGUGGGGUGAUGGCCUACCAAGGCGACGACGGGUAGCCGGCCUGAGAGGGUGACCGGCCAGACUGGGACUGAGAUACGGCCCAGACUCCUACGGGAGGCAGCAGUGGGGAAUAUUGCACAAUGGGCGCAAGCCUGAUGCAGCGACGCCGCGUGAGGGAUGACGGCCUUCGGGUUGUAAACCUCUUUCAGCACCGACGAAGCGCAAGUGACGGUAGGUGCAGAAGAAGGACCGGCCAACUACGUGCCAGCCGCCGCCGUAA